AAGGAAAAGGCCAGGAGAAAAUACAGGAGAGUGGCCCUGUCUACACACCAAGCAGAGAGAUCUCACCAGAACCCAGCCUUGCCCAUGCCUGGAUCUCUGAUUUCCAGCCUCCAGGAUUAGGAGAAAGGAAUGUCUGUUGUUUAAGAGUCUCUUAAUGGGGGAAUCUGUGGGAUUUGGCCAUGGCAGCCUUAAUGGACUCAGACACAAGGGAUGAGAGUCAUAUCCUGUGGCAUCUGAAAUGUGCUCAUGUCAUCACUGGGGAAGAAGAAAGUGAGUGAAGUCCACGUGAGAUUAUUUAAGCACUCAACAUCAUUAGACGUGGUGGAUGAGAUCAGGAUCAGUGUGGGAACCGGCAGGUUUCACUCACCAAGAUCUCUGUUGAAGGCUAACUUAUCAUGACAUCUUCGGGGCCCAAGGAGAGAAGCUGCAUGUGUUAUGCUCCAACAUUGGGAAACUAUAUAGUUACGAUGAAUGGGUACUUCUAGUGUGGCAUGUGGUGCCUCAACUGUACCCAGAGCUUCAUUAUUUCCAGACUGGGAGUCAUCCAGGAAGGACCCUGUUAUGACAUCCAAGGCGUGUUCCCAAAGGAGAUGCUGGUAGUGUUUUCCUGCAACGGAUGAAGAAACCCAGGGCUGCCCAGGAGAGAUAACUUUAUACAUAACCGGAGAUCGACUCGGGGAAAGAUGUCGAGGCUCGGAAGAAGAGAAACGCAUCGGUUCAGAACAGAACGGAGCAAAUCAGCAAUCGCGGGUGAAGCACAGGCCAACAAGAAGGCUGGACCGGGGCGGUCCGGAGUGAGCUUUGCCGCAUUUUUGUUCUGCCUCCAUGUGCGACUGUGAUGUUGACCAAGAGUGGGCAUCUCCUGAGAGAGCAAACAGCAUUAAAUAGUGCAUUAUGAGCUAAAGGAAUGUCACGGAAAGCUUCGGGAUCUUUCAAGGCUCAGUGGUUGCUCAUCCAAUUUCUUUCUACCUUGGCCGAGCGACAGUCCGGCUCAUUAUUUUCCCGCAUGUCCCUGUUAUCUUCUGAUAGGCAAAACAAUUUAUUUUUAAACAAAGGUCAAACAAAUUAUCAGCUUUGGACUUUUCUGGUCAAGCAGAACAUUCACGCGGCGGCACAGAGACGUCGCACAACAACUCGAAGGCAAAAUAUUUGGGGGCCAGGUGGAAACGGCAUGUCUGCUGAAAAGGGUAGCAUGCUUCUAAUGACAUAUCGAAUCGUUUUUAAAUAUGUGUAGUCUGAGGUUUCGUAAAGGUCAGGCAUCAAAUAGGGCCAAUGUUUGGAGCCACUUAUCCACGCGUGUCUGCAGAAGAAUAGGAUGUGGAUGGAUGAAGGCAGCUUCAGGAUGGCUCAUGGCAUACCUGUGGGCUCAACAUCCUUGUCCCCUGCGGCAAGACACCUGUCAGCCCAGGAUCCCUGUCCCCUGAGGCAAGACACCUGUCUGGUCCAUUUUGUCACGUCCUUAAAGGGUUUCGGAAGACACGAGGGAAUGAACAGGUGCGGAUGAUCACCCGCCCAGAUACACCUGACACACACACACUGGCUGUCUCUAGUAAGAUGCAUCAAAUUGCAAAAAAAAAAAAAAAAAAAAAAUGCAUCAAGUUGCUCAUC